rnacentral:rRNA from 1 species
GCCUAACACAUGCAAGUCGAGGGGUAACGAGGGCAGCAAUGCUUGUCGACGNCCGGCGCACGGGUGAGUAACGCGUAUGCAACCUACCUGUAACAGGGGAAUAGCCCGGAGAAAUUCGGAUUAAUACCCCAUAAUAUUUAGUUAAGGCAUCUUAAUUAUCUUAAAGCUUUUUGCGGUUACAGAUGGGCAUGCGUUCCAUUAGUUUGUUGGUGAGGUAACGGCUCACCAAAUUGGCUAUGAUGGAUAGGGGGUCUAAAAGGAUGAUCCCCCACACUGGUACUGAGACACGGACCAGACUCCUACGGGAGGCAGCAGUGAGGAAUAUUGGUCAAUGGGCGCAAGCCUGAACCAGCCAUGCCGCGUGCAGGAAGACUGCCCUAUGGGUUGUAAACUGCUUUUGUACGAGAAGAAACUUAUCUACGUGUAGAUAACUGACGGUAUCGUAAGAAUAAGGAUCGGCUAACUCCGUGCCAGCAGCCGCGGUAAUACGGAGGAUCCAAGCGUUAUCCGGAUUUAUUAGGUUUAAAGGGUGCGNNGGCGGGCUUUUAAGUCAGUGGUGAAAUCCCGAAGCUUAACUUCGGAACUGCCAUUGAUACUGUAAGUCUUGAGUGCGGUUGAGGUAAGCGGAAUGUGUAAUGUAGCGGUGAAAAGCUUAUAUAUUACACAGAACACCGAUUGCGAAGGCAGCUUACUAAACCGUAACUGACGCUNNUGCACGAAAGCGUGGGGAGCGAACAGGAUUAGAAAACCCUGGUAGUCCACGCCGUAAACUAUGAUCACUCGUUGCGUGCGAUAUACAGUACGUGACUGAGCGAAAGCAUUAAGUGAUCCACCUGGGGAGUACGUCGGCAACGAUGAAACUCAAAGGAAUUGACGGGGGCCCGCACAAGCGGAGGAACAUGUGGUUUAAUUCGAUGAUACGCGAGGAACCUUACCCGGGCUUAAAUGCAGGACGACCGGUUCGGAAACGGACCUUUCUUCGGACGGCUUGCAAGGUGCUGCAUGGCUGUCGUCAGCUCGUGCCGUNAGGUGUCGGGUUAAGUCCCAUAACGAGCGCAACCCCUAUCGUUAGUUGCCAGCGGGUAAUGCCGGGAACUCUAACGAGACUGCCACCGUAAGGUGUGAGGAAGGUGGGGAUGACGUCAAGUCAGCACGGCCCUUAUGUCCGGGGCUACACACGUGUUACAAUGGUCGGUACAAAGGGCAGCUACACAGCGAUGUGAUGCUAAUCUCAAAAACCGAUCUCAGUUCGGAUCGGAGUCUGCAACUCGACUCCGUGAAGUUGGAUUCGCUAGUAAUCGUAGAUCAGCAACGCUA